rnacentral:rRNA from 1 species
AACGAACGCUGGCGGCAGGCCUCAUACAUGCAAGUCGAGCGAGAAACCUUCCUUCGGGGAGGCGGACAGCGGCAGACGGGUGAGUAACGCGUGGGAACGUACCCUUUGGUUCGGAACAACUCCGGGAAACUGGAGCUAAUACCGAAUAAGCCCUCCGGGGGAAAGAUUUAUCGCCGAAGGAUCGGCCCGCGUCUGAUUAGCUAGUUGGUGGGGUAAUGGCCCACCAAGGCGACGAUCAGUAGCUGGUCUGAGAGGAUGAUCAGCCACACUGGGACUGAGACACGGCCCAGACUCCUACGGGAGGCAGCAGUAGGGAAUAUUGGACAAUGGGCGAAAGCCUGAUCCAGCCAUGCCGCGUGAGUGAUGAAGGCCCUAGGGUUGUAAGCUCUUUCGGUGGGAUAAUGACGGUACCCACAGAAGAAGCCCCG